CAAUAGCGUAUAUUAAAGUUGUUGCGGUUAAAAAGCUCGUAGUUGGAUUUCUGCUGAGAACGACCGGUCCGCCCUUUGGGUGUGUAUCUGGCUCUUUCUUGGCAUCUUCUUGGUGAACGUUGCUGCACUUGACUGUGUGGAGCGCUACCCAGGACUUUUACUUUGAGGAAAUUAGAGUGUUUCAAGCAGGCAUACGCCUUGAAUACAUUAGCAUGGAAUAAUAAGAUAGGACCUCGGUUCUAUUUUGUUGGUUUCUAGAGCUGAGGUAAUUGAUUAAUAGGGAUAGUUGGGGGCAUUCGUAUUUAACUGUCAGAGGUAAAAUUCUUGGAUUUGUUAAAGACGGACUACUGCGAAAGCAUUUGCCAAGGAUGUUUUCAUUGA
rnacentral:rRNA from 1 species